AGAAUCAACGCUGGCGGCGUGCCUAACACAUGCAAGUCGAACGAGAAAGUGGAGCAAUCCACGAGUAAAGUGGCGCACGGGUGAGUAACACGUGACUAACCUACCCUUGAGUGGGGGAUAACCUAGAGAAAUCUGGGCUAAUACCGCAUAAUACCUUCGGGUCAAAGGAGCAAUUCGCUUAAGGAGGGGGUCGCGGCCGAUUAGUUAGUUGGCGGGGUAAUGGCCCACCAAGACUAUGAUCGGUAUCCGGCCUGAGAGGGCGCACGGACACACUGGGACUGAGACACGGCCCAGACUCCUACGGGAGGCAGCAGUGGGAAUAUUGCGCAAUGGGCGAAAGCCUGACGCAGCGACGCCGCGUGGGGGAUGAAGGCCUUCGGGUUGUAAACCCCUUUCAGCAGGGACGAAGCGAAAGUGACGGUACCUGCAGAAGAAGCGCCGGCUAACUACGUGCCAGUAGCGC
rnacentral:rRNA from 1 species